UUGACUCAGAGAAGUUCAGGGUCAACUCAGUCACUGCAAGAGGUCUAGGUCCUGUGGCUGCAAAACAGGCCCAAAUCAUCAGCCCUCCACC